GACGGAGGAUGCAAGUGUUAUCCGGAAUCACUGGGCGUAAAGCGUCUGUAGGUGGUCAAAUAAGUCAACUGUUAAAUCUUGAGGCUUAACCUCAAAAUCGCAGUCGAAACUAUUAGACUAGAGUAUAGUAGGGGUAAAGGGAAUUUCCAGUGGAGCGGUGAAAUGCGUAGAGAUUGGAAAGAACACCGAUGGCGAAGGCGGCCUGCUGGGCUAUGGCUGACACUGAGGCGCGACAGCGUGGGGAGCAAACAGG
rnacentral:rRNA from 1 species